rnacentral:rRNA from 1 species
UACGUAGGGUGCAAGCGUUAAUCGGAAUUACUGGGCGUAAAACGUGCGCAGGCGGUUUUGUAAGUCUGUCGUGAGAGCCCCGGGCUUAACCUGGGAAUUGCGAUGGAGACUGCAAGGCUUGAAUCUGGCAGAGGGGGGUAGAAUUCCACGUGUAGCAGUGAAAUGCGUAGAGAUGUGGAGGAACACCGAUGGCGAAGGCAGCCCCCUGGGUCAAGAUUGACGCUCAUGCACGAAAGCGUGGGGAGCAAACAGG